CUGUGACGCAUACGUAUUAUCUGAUCCAGGAUGCGAGAAAUUGGACUGAUGCUCGAUCUUACUGCCAAUUCACAUACACCGACCUGGCUGUCAUCAAAAGCAAUGAAGACGUGAUCCAACUCCAGAAUGAAGCCGACAGUCAACAGUUCAGUUCCAGUGCAUGGAUUGGGAUGUACAACGACAUAAACAAAUGGCACUGGUCCUACGGAUAUAAACCAGUGGGAAAUCUGAGGGCUUGGCAACCGGGAGAGCCUAACAACAAUUGGAUCAAAACUGUGGAGCGAUAAGUCCCUGGGGUUGGUGGGAUCUGGAAUGUUAUGAAUUCCGGCCCUAUAUUUGUUUUGAUGAAACAAAGACUGGCAGUGACAGAUAUAUUUACAAUGCAGAUAAAAGAGAGUGGACUGACGCUCAGACUUACUGCAGACAGUAUUACACAGACCUGGCCAGUGCAAAAGAUGAGAACGAAAACGCUCUUAUACAGAGUAUAAUCCCUGGUGGCACUUGGUUUGGUCUGAUUAAAGAUGGCUGGCAGUGGGUCGACCAAACCAACUUCUCUUAUGUCACCUGGACAUCUGGAGAACCUGAUAAUUACUAUUGGAAUGAAAAUUGUGGUUAUUUAGAAAUGGGUGAGGCUGGUGAUUCACAGUGCACUGAGAUCAUGCCUUUCUUCUGUUACGCAGUGACUGCAAAAAAACAAACCGUAAGGAUAAAGAUCCAGUCCAAUCAGGACUUGAACGAUCCUGCAGUAAAUGAGGACAUCUUGGAGAAGAUCAGGCAAAAACUUGCAGAUAAUGGGAUGGAAGAGGACGUCAUGAUGAAAUGGAACGUAAAAGCAGAUGGACUGGUGUUUCACAAGGAGAAAAGAAACUAAUACUGCAGAGUUUUCUAAGUCUUUAGUCAUGUCUUAAUUGUUGUGAUAGUGUAAAGGAUGUGUGCAGAGUAGUGUUUGUACUCAGAGAUACUUCACAAUUAGAAAGAUGGUGACAUUAUUUAUAUAUCUUCUUCUUCU